UUUUCACAAUAAACUUACUUGAAUUUCACAAUAAAUUAGUCCACUCCUGAUGCUGAGGCACAGAGAUGUCUUCUAGAGCCAACAGUGACAUCCAUCCUUCCAUUACCUCGCGAGUGGACCUUAAGGUUGGGGUCCUGCUUUUCCAACUGGCCAUUGAAGGAUCUGCAUGGCUGAUUUGACCUCACCAAGGAGACGGGGUGUGGUGUUUGAAUUUCUUCACUCUCUCAUCUGCCCGAGCUCUCACAGAACUAGAUCUGGAACUGGAACACGAGCCAAUCACCAGGGUGGCAGUCUUCCUGCCCAUCUACGUGAGACUUAAAGGCCAACCUUAGAGGAACCUGCUGUUUCUCCUCCAAGAAAUUGUUCUGCGUCUAGAGACACAUGUGUUCCGUUUUAAUUAGAAACCGGUGGGGCACUGGGCCGGCUGGCUAGCAGCUCAGGCCAUGCUGGAAACCAGAGGGCUGAGUGGAGGCCAGGACGUCUGAGCAUAUCUUCAGGGCUUUCUUCCCACCUGCUGCUUGUGGAGGCGUUCUGCCACUUUCCACGCACCCGUCACUGCACAUCCUCCACCCCGUCUGCACUCCCAUCAUCAUUAUCCUCACCUGCCAUGGGGCCGGGACGUGGCAGUGUAUUAGUUGUCACAUAUGAGAGAAAACCAGCCUGAGAUGACGGUGGGUACAGCCCCACAAGACCGUCAGAGCCUGGUGUCCGGGCUCCUGGUCCCGUGCUCUCAUGCCACCCUCAGCAGCAAGGACUCAGAGUCAGACGCCCAAAGAGAGAAACAUUCCUCUGAGGACCACGGUGAGGGGGCACCCGCCCCCCCAAAACUAUGGACCAGCCAAAGCACUGGUGGUUCCUAAGAAAUUGAACUGCGUGAGCAUUUGUGAGAACUACCCCACUUUUUACGAGCAUCUCACCUGGUCCAUCACCCUUUGGCGGAACACACUUUGGAGAGACGGUAAAAGGAGUGGAGGUAAGCAAGAGUUCGCAUUCCUCUCCGAGCUUUGGACCAGAAUCUGGCUUAGAGAAGGUGAGCUGGCCUCAGCACUGCCCUGGCAGCAGGACUCCAAGUGCCCACAGUGGGUACCAGCCACUCUACCUGGGGGAUGGUGAGUGUCCGGAAGGGGAGGGCAUUUCCUGUACUUCCCUGACUGUGGUCGGCUGGAAAGCCUAGGCUGGUGGCCACUUAGAAGAGUCUUAAGAGCGUCAGAGUUUCAUUUUGGGUUUGAAACACUGUACCAGGCCACCUUUUAAUAGUCACAAUGCCGCCUGUGACACAGCACGGGGUGUGUGUCAUCUGAGGAGGAAGCGUGCUCUCUCCCCGCAGUCCAGGGCCGUGGCAUUUCCUCUCUUCAGUGUGUUUUUCUUGCCAGCAACAACUAAGCCCAAGGCCACCAUUUGCACAAUUCCAGGGAUUCUGCUACUUUGCUGUGGAGAACCCGCGAGAACGGCGUCUCCCAGGGCUGUGCAAAGCGGUGGUGCGGUCCAAGCGCUUGCCUGCUGCAGGGUUUUGCCAGGACAGUCCUAUCUAUUUCGUAAGUCCCACCUCAAUGUCACCUCUAGUUAGAGCAGGCCCCUGCUAUUUACUAUCAUGAUAUCCUGUUUGUAUUCUUUACACAUGGUGACUCAUUUAUCGACACCUGAAUCCCUACAUAUUUUUACUUUUUUGAAUAUUGUCUGUCUCCUCCUCAAAUAAAAUAUGAACUCCACAGGGUUGAGCAGAGUUUUGUUUGUUUGUUUUUUUGGCCAAUGCUGGAUCCUUGGUGCCUUGGACAGUGCCUGGCACAGAGUCGC